rnacentral:piRNA from 1 species
UUAAACACCCCCUUAUGAGGUAACCUCUGC